UACAGAGGUCCCGAGCGUUGUUCGGAUUCAUUGGGCGUAAAGGGUGCGUAGGCGGCGGGGUAAGUUUGAUGUGAAAUCCCGGGGCUCAACCCUGGAAUUGCAUUGAAUACUACCUCGCUAGAGUACCGGAGAGGAAACUGGAAUUUACGGUGUAGCAGUGAAAUGCGUAGAGAUCGUAAGGAAGACCAGUGGCGAAGGCGAGUCUCUGGACAUUUCCUGACGCUGAGGCACGAAAGCCAGGGGAGCAAACGGG
rnacentral:rRNA from 1 species